UACGUAGGGUGCAAGCGUUGUCCGGAAUUAUUGGGCGUAAAGAGCUUGUAGGCGGUUUGUCGCGUCUGCUGUGAAAUUUCGGGGCUCAACCCCGAACUUGCAGUGGGUACGGGCAGACUAGAGUGUGGUAGGGGAGACUGGAAUUCCUGGUGUAGCGGUGAAAUGCGCAGAUAUCAGGAGGAACACCGAUGGCGAAGGCA
rnacentral:rRNA from 1 species